rnacentral:rRNA from 1 species
UGGGGAAUAUUGCACAAUGGGCGCAAGCCUGAUGCAGCAACGCCGCGUGAACGAUGAAGGCAUUCGGAUCGUAAAGUUCUGUUGCAGGGGAAGAUAAUGACGGUACCAUGGGAAGAAGCCUCGGCCAACUACGUGCCAGCAGCCGCGGUAAUACGUAUGGGGCGAGCGUUGUCCGGAAUUAUUGGGCGUAAAGGGUACGUAGGCGGUCUAUUAAGUCAGGUGUGAAAGCGUGAGGCUUAACCUCAUUAAGCACUUGAAACUGAUAGACUUGAGUGAAGGAGAGGAAAGUGGAAUUCCUAGUGUGGCGGUUAAAUGCGUAGAUAUUAGGAGGAAUACCGGUGGCGAAGGCGACUUUCUGUACUUUUACUGACGCUCAGGUACGAAAGCGUGGGGAGCAAGCAGG